CCUCCGCGCCUCAGCGCAGGGUCCCGUGGGAACAUCCCCCAGCGAGAAGCAGAGGACGGCCGCGAGAGCAGAGCCCGCCCCCCAGCCCGGAGGAAGACGCUCACCUCAGCGGCACUACCAGGAGCGUACCGAGUCCGCGGCCCUGCUUCAGACCUGCUCCCCUCGCUCGCCCUCCGCCGAAAACCUCCCCCUCCGGCUCUCCUCAUACUCGUUCUGAGGCUCCGCCCCCAGCUCGAGAAGCCCCGCCCCUGCCCCCUGGGAGGGCACUCCCUCCGCGGUGAAGCCGGGUCCCCUACGGGGGGGACCGCGCCUGAGGUACUCCAGGCCCAGCAAACCCAACCGUAGAGGAUAGUAGGGUCACUAAGGAAUUUGCGAUUGGCAAAGAGCUUAUAGAGGAUCUACAUCUGUGAAUGCAUAAGAAUAAAAAAGAUCAGAGCACAGGCUCCGGACGCGCAGGCUCAGCGGCCAUGGCUCACGGGCCCAGCCACUCCAUGGCAUGCGGGAUCCUCCCGGACCGGGGCACGAACCCAUGUCCUCUGCAUCGGCAGGCGGACUCUCAACCACUGCGUCACCAGGGAAGCCCUGUAACAAUUUUAAUGGCAACAUUAGGCAUUCCUUUCUUUAACAUGUAAUUAGUUUCGUUUUUGUUCUUUUUUCAUUUUAAAAAUGUUUGCCUAAUUACACAUGAAUGAAUACAUUAUUGCAAAACACUCAAAACAGAAAAAUGUAAAGUUCCUCUUACAUACACAUAUAGAAAUACAUAGCUUUGUUUUGUGUUUUUUACUUUUUAAAAAUAUA